GUUUUAUUAUUAAUUCUUCAUAUUAUACUCUGUGAGGGAAAUGGUUUGAAUGAUUAAAUCUUUUCUUAAGUUAGACAAGCAAUAGAACCUCAACUUGCAUGCAGGCUAACAUUAACAAUAAGUUGAAAUCACCUUUCAUAUAUAACACUUUAAAAUUCAAGUUGCUUUUGUUGUUAUAUUAAUUAUGUCCACAGCAAAAAUACCACACUGAAAAGCCAGCUAUAGAACUGUGAAGCCAUAAAAGGUAUACAUGCAUGCAGGUAAUAUAUUUUCCAGCAAAUCUUUGACAUUGUAUAUAUAUACCUUCAUACAUGAUGUAUCAAUAUAACCAAUCCAAUUGAAUUCUUGAUCAAUUUGCAAGAGAAUUGAAAACUGCAUGCAUGCAUGUUUGCUGUGAUUAAAUAUCUGAUCAAUAUGCAGUAUAUAAUAGUUAUACAACUUAUUUCAAUUCUGAUUGCUUUUGUAUUCUGAUUUCUGGCCUUUUAAGGUUUGCCAAACAUGCUUAACAUCUCAACUUAGUAAGUUAGUAUUAGUACUACAAAUAAAUUCAAUGACAAUGACAAUUCUCAUUAUAUAAGUAAGUUUAAAAAUACAAACAUGAUUGCAUGAUAUCAAUGAUCGUUUCACAAUUAUUAACAACCUGGCCCUGGGCUAGAGAAAUUGCCCAGUAUUUAAAUCAACGCUACUGAGCAACCUGCUGGUAAAAUAUAUUUCCCCCUACCUAUGUACAGAGGUUCACAUGUAUAUACUGUAGUUUCUGAACAAGUUCUUGUCUUCUUGAAAAGGUCAAUGAGUCCAUAUUUGUUUUCAUACAUAGCAUAAUUCCUUCGCUACUCGUAAAGUAAUUCGUAAUUCCUCUGGCGGCUCUGCUUAUCAGUGCUAUUGCAGUAUGGAAGCAUUCGAUUUUCCGCUCUUAUUGUCCUUGCAGCAUUAUUGGGUUCAACAAACACAUAUGUGCAACUGCAUGCACCAACAGUCAAUACGUUUGAACUUUUUUCUUGUAUACAUAUAUACUUUCUUUCCAGUUUUUAACUCGUGUUCUUACUCAGUUACUGCUUAUAGAAGUAAUCCUCUUGUGACGCGCCUUCAUUGUUGUUAUAACUUAUAAGGCUUAUAGAUUCAAUCCAUCCAGUGCAAACAAAAAUUCGCACGCAAACUAUCAAAUGUAUCGAUAAUAAAAAUCGUUGCCGUUGCCGUUGGGAAGUUGUGACUUGUGUUGGACAGUCUUCCCUGACGCUCUCAGUGUUCGUACACAGCGGUUUGACAAGGAUCAUUCAUUUCACAUCGAAUUCUUGCGUCGGAGUACACAUAUAAUUUCCGAUAAAAAACGUGGCUGACAUCUAGAACUUAUAGGACAAAUAUAGUACAAAAUUUCUUAACUGGAAGACACUUAGUAUACCCCAAAGAGCAUUUUAAAGUGUCG